GUUUAUUUCUGACAAGAUCAAGGAUAUGCAAUCAAACCAUUUUAUUUCCUUCUUUUAAAGUGAGAUGAAGUUUCAGUUCCUCAACAAGAUUCAUGAAAUAAUUUGUCCCACUGGAGAGAAUUUGUUGAGGACUCACUUUUUCCCCACAGAGGAAAGAAAGGAUUGGAUGACUGAGGGGAGGAAAAGGUAGAAGACAGUGUUCCAGCCCUACAGGAUUUGUGGUAUGAAAUAGAUGUCAGUGGAGCAGAAGACUGGCUUUGGCCCAGAGUUCCCAAGAGGCAGAGCAGGGAGUUUGAUAAGCAAGAGCAUCAUUUUACAAUGUAAUAUUUUAAGAUACCAGGGAUGUGUGCUCACGGAGAAAAUGCCACACGAGAAGACAGUGAGAAGAUGGUCAUCUGUGAGCCAAGGAGAAGGGCUGCAGGAGAAACCAAAUCUUUAGUACCUGACUCUUGGACUUCUAGUCUCUGGCAGAGGGGAAAAUAAAAUUCAGUUGCUUGAGCCAGAAAAGGAAGUUUUUUCUUUGACAUACAUCAGGAUGGGGGCCUGUUAGGCAUCUCUGGCCUGGUGAUAUUUCCUUGUUUCUUCCUAACUUUUCAGCUCUGCUGGUAGAGGUGGAGACCAGGCCCCACCCCUGCAGUCUCUUCCUUUAUCUUGGAAGGUGUCUUUCUAUAUUCUCC
rnacentral:lncRNA from 1 species